rnacentral:rRNA from 1 species
GGUUAAGUGACUAAGCGUACACGGUGGAUGCCUAGGCAGUCAGAGGCGAUGAAGGGCGUGCUAAUCUGCGAAAAGCGUCGGUAAGGUGAUAUGAACCGUUAUAACCGGCGAUACCCGAAUGGGGAAACCCAGUGUGUUUCGACACACUAUCAUGUCAUGAAUACAUAGUGGCAUGAGGCGAACCGGGGGAACUGAAACAUCUAAGUACCCCGAGGAAAAGAAAUCAACCGAGAUUCCCCCAGUAGCGGCGAGCGAACGGGGAGGAGCCCAGAACCUGAAUCGGCUUGUGUGUUAGUGGAAGCGUCUGGAAAGUCGCGCAGCAAAGGGUGAUAGCCCCGUACACUAAAAUGCACAGGUCGUGAGUUCGAUGAGUAGGGCGGGACACGUGACAUCCUGUCUGAAUAUGGGGGGACCAUCCUCCAAGGCUAAAUACUCCUGACUGACCGAUAGUGAACCAGUACCGUGAGGGAAAGGCGAAAAGAACCCCGGCGAGGGGAGUGAAAUAGAACCUGAAACCGUGUACGUACAAGCAGUGGGAGCACCUUCGUGGUGUGACUGCGUACCUUUUGUAUAAUGGGUCAGCGACUUAUAUUUUGUAGCAAGGUUAACCGUAUAGGGGAGCCGUAGGGAAACCGAGUCUUAACUGGGCGACUAGUUGCAAGGUAUAGACCCGAAACCCGGUGAUCUAGCCAUGGGCAGGUUGAAGGUUGGGUAACACUAACUGGAGGACCGAACCGACUAAUGUUGAAAAAUUAGCGGAUGACUUGUGGCUGGGGGUGAAAGGCCAAUCAAACCGGGAGAUAGCUGGUUCUCCCCGAAAGCUAUUUAGGUAGCGCCUCGUGAACUCAUCUUCGGGGGUAGAGCACUGUUUCGGCUAGGGGGCCAUCCCGGCUUACCAAACCGAUGCAAACUCCGAAUACCGAAGAAUGUUAUCACGGGAGACACACGGCGGGUGCUAACGUCCGUCGUGAAGAGGGAAACAACCCAGACCGCCAGCUAAGGUCCCAAAGUCAUGGUUAAGUGGGAAACGAUGUGGGAAGGCAUAGACAGCCAGGAUGUUGGCUUAGAAGCAGCCAUCAUUUAAAGAAAGCGUAAUAGCUCACUGGUCGAGUCGGCCUGCGCGGAAGAUGUAACGGGGCUAAACCAUGCACCGAAGCUGCGGCAGCGACGCUUAGGCGUUGUUGGGUAGGGGAGCGUUCUGUAAGCCGUUGAAGGUGGCCUGUGAGGGUUGCUGGAGGUAUCAGAAGUGCGAAUGCUGACAUAAGUAACGAUAAAGCGGGUGAAAAGCCCGCUCGCCGGAAGACCAAGGGUUCCUGUCCAACGUUAAUCGGGGCAGGGUGAGUCGACCCCUAAGGCGAGGCUGAAAAGCGUAGUCGAUGGGAAACAGGUUAAUAUUCCUGUACUUGGUGUUACUGCGAAGGGGGGACGGAGAAGGCUAGGCUGGCCGGGCGACGGUUGUCCCGGUUUAAGCGUGUAGGGGGUGUGACCUGGUAAAUCCGGUUGCAUAUCAACCCUGAGGCGUGAUGACGAUGCACUACGGUGCAGAAGUAGUUGAUGCCCUGCUUCCAGGAAAAUCCUCUAAGCUCCAGGUAACAUUAAAUCGUACCCCAAACCGACACAGGUGGUCAGGUAGAGAAUACCAAGGCGCUUGAGAGAACUCGGGUGAAGGAACUAGGCAAAAUGGUGCCGUAACUUCGGGAGAAGGCACGCUGGCAUGUAGGUGAAGUCCCUUGCGGAUGGAGCUGAAGCCAGUCGAAGAUACCAGCUGGCUGCAACUGUUUAAUAAAAACACAGCACUGUGCAAACACGAAAGUGGACGUAUACGGUGUGACGCCUGCCCGGUGCUGGAAGGUUAAUUGAUGGGGUCAGCCGCAAGGCGAAGCUCUUGAUCGAAGCCCCAGUAAACGGCGGCCGUAACUAUAACGGUCCUAAGGUAGCGAAAUUCCUUGUCGGGUAAGUUCCGACCUGCACGAAUGGCGUAAUGAUGGCCAGGCUGUCUCCACCCGAGACUCAGUGAAAUUGAACUCGCUGUGAAGAUGCAGUGUACCCGCGGCAAGACGGAAAGACCCCGUGAACCUUUACUAUAGCUUGACACUGAACAUUGAGCCUUGAUGUGUAGGAUAGGUGGGAGGCUUUGAAGCGUGGACGCCAGUCUGCGUGGAGCCAUCCUUGAAAUACCACCCUUUAAUGUUUGAUGUUCUAACUCGGCCCCGUGAUCCGGGGUGAGGACAGUGUCUGGUGGGUAGUUUGACUGGGGCGGUCUCCUCCCAAAGAGUAACGGAGGAGCACGAAGGUUAGCUAAUCACGGUCGGACAUCGUGAGGUUAGUGCAAAGGCAUAAGCUAGCUUGACUGCGAGAGUGACGGCUCGAGCAGGUACGAAAGUAGGUCUUAGUGAUCCGGUGGUUCUGAAUGGAAGGGCCAUCGCUCAACGGAUAAAAGGUACUCCGGGGAUAACAGGCUGAUACCGCCCAAGAGUUCAUAUCGACGGCGGUGUUUGGCACCUCGAUGUCGGCUCAUCACAUCCUGGGGCUGAAGUAGGUCCCAAGGGUAUGGCUGUUCGCCAUUUAAAGUGGUACGCGAGCUGGGUUUAGAACGUCGUGAGACAGUUCGGUCCCUAUCUGCCGUGGGCGUUGGAAGAUUGAGAGGGGUUGCUCCUAGUACGAGAGGACCGGAGUGAACGCACCACUGGUGUUCGGGUUGUCAUGCCAAUGGCAUUGCCCGGUAGCUAAGUGCGGAAAAGAUAAGCGCUGAAAGCAUCUAAGCGCGAAACUUGCCUCAAGAUGAGUCUUCCCUGGACCUUUAAGGUCCCUGAAGGAACGUUUAAGACUAAGACGUUGAUAGGCUGGGUGUGUAAGUGCAGCGAUGCAUUGAGCUAACCAGUACUAAUGAUCCGUGAGGCUUAACCUU